rnacentral:rRNA from 1 species
UGAGUAAUAUAUCGGAACGUGUCCAAUAAUGGGGGAUAACGAGUCGAAAGAUUCGCUAAUACCGCAUACGCCCUACGGGGGAAAGCAGGGGAUCGUAAGACCUUGCGUUAAUGGAGCGGCCGAUAUCUGAUUAGCUUGUUGGUGAGGUAAAGGCUCACCAAGGCGACGAUCAGUAGCUGGUUUGAGAGAACGACCAGCCACACUGGAACUGAGACACGAUCCAGACUCCUACGGGAGGCAGCAGUGGGGAAUUUUGGACAAUGGGGGCAACCCUGAUCCAGCCAUUCCGCGUGAGUGAAGAAGGCCUUCGGGUUGUAAAGCUCUUUCGCAAGGGAAGAAAACUUAUGAUCGAAUAAAUCAUGAGGUUGACGGUACCUUGAUAAGAAGCACCGGCUAACUACGUGCCAGCAGCCGCGGUAAUACGUAGGGUGCGAGCGUUAAUCGGAAUUACUGGGCGUAAAGCGUGCGCAGGCGGUUUUGUAAGUCGGAUGUGAAAUCCCCGGGCUCAACCUGGGAACUGCGUUCGAAACUGCAAGGCUAGAGUGUGUCAGAGGGGGGUAGAAUUCCACGUGUAGCAGUGAAAUGCGUAGAGAUGUGGAGGAAUACCAAUGGCGAAGGCAGCCCCCUGGGAUAACACUGACGCUCAUGCACGAAAGCGUGGGGAGCAAACAGGAUUAGAUACCCUGGUAGUCCACGCCCUAAACGAUGUCAACUAGUUGUUGGUAGAGUAAAAUCUAUGAGUAACGUAGCUAACGCGUGAAGUUGACCGCCUGGGGAGUACGG